AGUGAACGCUGGCGGCAGGCCUAACACAUGCAAGUCGAACGGCAGCACAGAGGAGCUUGCUCCUUGGGUGGCGAGUGGCGGACGGGUGAGGAAUGCGUCGGAAUCUGCCUAUUUGUGGGGGAUAACGUAGGGAAACUUACGCUAAUACCGCAUACGACCUACGGGUGAAAGUGGGGGACCUUCGGGCCUCACGCAGAUAGAUGAGCCGACGCCGGAUUAGCUAGUUGGCGGGGUAAAGGCCCACCAAGGCGACGAUCCGUAGCUGGUCUGAGAGGAUGAUCAGACACACUGGGACUGAGACACGGCCCAGACUCCUACGGGAGGCAGCAGUGGGGAAUAUUGGACAAUGGGCGCAAGCCUGAUCCAGCCAUGCCGCGUGUGUGAAGAAGGCCUUCGGGUUGUAAAGCACUUUUGUCCGGAAAGAAAUCCAAUCGAUUAAUACUCGGUUGGGAUGACGGUACCGGAAGAAUAAGCACCGGCUAACUUCGUGCCAGCCGCCGCAGUAAGAC
rnacentral:rRNA from 1 species